UAAGCCAGCACAACUGCCCUCUAUGCCUAUCCGGGUCUCCGCCCCGAGUCCCUCAACUGUCUCAGGAAUGUCUCUGUGAAAGUGAAGGUGUGUCGGUGGGUCAGGACAAGGCUCCACACUUGUAGUAUCGACGGAUAUGUGAACAGUACAUGGAUGAUGGUCUCCUUCUCCUCCGGGCACCUUUCACAAUCAGUGAGAAUCCGAACCUCUCUUAUGGCCAGGAUCUAUGUAGUUGGUAGGAUGCCCCAAACCACUCUCUAUAAAAAAGGGCCUGGGUGAAUCCGUGGCCGCCGGAUCCAAGGCCCCUCCACGCGGCGAGCAGGCCCCGCUUGAGCCUGAAGCUCACUAGCUGUGAGCUUCAAAUCCUCCUGUCUGCCGUCCCCAGGUCUUUGAAGCAUUUUUAUUAACAGUCUCUCGACGCCUCGACCUCGCCUUCCGCCCUCGCCGUCCACCCGUCCUCCCGUAACCCGGCGGCGGAGGCAGCGUCGCCACCAUUCCCCCCAAAUCCGUGGCUCUCAAGUCCGCGGAGAGGGCGACGAGGCCAAGAAGGCGCUGCCGCCGGACGGCCUCCCUUCCGCCCCAGCAGCCUCUCUGGAGAUCUUCUCGCGCCCCCCUCUCGUCUCCUUCUCCCAUUGCACGCCGGAGCCUCCUAGAUUACUGCAGGUUGCAAUCUGGCAGCAUGAUAGGAGCUAUCUGUGCAGGUACCUUUGCAUCUGAAGUCACAAAACAACUGAGGGAGCUUUAUAGGGCUGAUGAAUAGGGUGCUAGUGUCACAUUUUAACAGGAGUGGAAGAUGACUGUAUGGUUGAAGGCGGUAGGAGCACAGGUCCAUGAUCAUCUAGUGAACUAAAGCUUAAAUGUUCAUAAGGUUAUCUUGUCAUAUUUUGUUGUGUGAUCAAUGGUUUGCUUGUUAGAGGCGCAUUCACAAUCUCAAGGAAGCCUGCACGAUUUAGAUUCAGACUAACCUUGUUUUUCAGCAAUUGGAUCUCUUGGAACAUGAUCUGCAUCUGUGAAUUUAGAGAUCAGUUAAGAGAGAGAGAGAGAGAGAGACCAAACACUCAGAAAAGGUUAAGCAGGUGUUGAAUUGUGCAUAAGAGAUCAAAGAAAUGACGCUGUUCAAGUAUUGGAAGCAGAUCGAUCUCUUGCUUCAACAUGGAUAUCUCCAGCUUCUCCAGCUCCGAGACCUGUCCAUAUGGAGAAAAAAUAUAGCUCACUGAGAAUAUAUCAACAGAAGGGGCAUUCCAUGGUAGACUUAUUGAAGAAAUUCAUGUGGCCAUGAUGGAUGUACAAGCCUAUAAAUUAAGUUUGGAUAUGAUUUCAGAAAAUGGGGUAGGCAAUCUUCUCGUAGAGUCAUACUACAGGCCCAGAAAUCAGAUGUUUAAUGCUGAGACAGAUUUCCAACAGUUUUGAUCUGGCUCUAUGUACCUGCUUUUUUUCUCUCAAAGAGAAUAUUUUGAAUGUGCGACUUGUUUGGCUGAGAGGAGAUCACAAGGCUCCAAGAACAAUACAAAGACAAGUGUUAAGAGAUGGCAAAAAGGGGGCAUUGGGAAUGCUCCCCUUGGGCAUGGGAACCAAAUGCCUUCGUAGUGCCUAUGAGAUUCUCUAAACAUGCGCAUCCUUCGAUAAAGAAGCAUAGCACUUAUAUCUGUGCUUUGGCUUGGAAAGGGUUCAUGUCUUUUUUCCAAAGGGUGGUGGUUCCAAGUUCCAACAUCUACACAAACUUCCAAAGUCCCAAUCAGCAAGGAGAUUUCUUUACCACAAAGCAGCAGCUCUGGAGUGGAGACCACAUGGUCCAGGAGGAGGAAGGAGCUUGGCUGGUAAAGUUAAAGAUAGCUAAAAGGUAAAGCUAAUGGUGCAAGGCCAAAAGAUGGAGAUGCAAAAUAAUGGUUUGUUUUGGUGGAUGAACUCAAAUAAUGAUUGAGGAUAUGUUAUUUUAAUUAUGUCAGCCGACCAUGGAUGCGGACAGCAAAACCUUGAUUCACCAAUAAUAGUUGUUUAGCGGUGUGCUUUGUAUGCAAAUGUGGGAUAAAAAUAGUUGGAAAAGUCUUGGAAAAACUUGCGAAAACACUGGAAUUGAACCUUGAUGGUUAAACCAUAUUGAUUAUGAAGUGCCAUGAAUAGGAACA